GAUGAACGCUGGCGGCGUGCCUAAUACAUGCAAGUCGAGCGAACAGACGAGGAGCUUGCUCCUCUGACGUUAGCGGCGGACGGGUGAGUAACACGUGGAUAACCUACCUAUAAGACUGGGAUAACUUCGGGAAACCGGAGCUAAUACCGGAUAAUAUAUUGAACCGCAUGGUUCAAUAGUGAAAGACGGUUUUGCUGUCACUUAUAGAUGGAUCCGCGCCGCAUUAGCUAGUUGGUAGGGUAACGGCUUACCAAGGCAACGAUGCGUAGCCGGCCGGAGGGGGUGAUCGGCCACACUGGAACUGAGACACGGUCCAGACUCCGACGGGAGGCAGCAGUCGGGAAUCUUCCGCAAUGGGCGAAAGCCUGACGGAGCAACGCCGCGUGAGUGAUGAGGGUCUUCGGAUCGUAAAACUCUGUUAUUAGGGAAGAACAAAUGUGUAAGUAACUAUGCACGUCUUGACGGUACCUAAUCAGAAAGCCACGGCUAACUACGUGCCAGCCGCCGCCGUAA
rnacentral:rRNA from 1 species